UACGUAGGGACCAAGCGUUGUUCGGAUUUACUGGGCGUAAAGGGCGCGUAGGCGGCGCGGUAAGUCACUUGUGAAAUCUCUGAGCUUAACUCAGAACGGCCAAGUGAUACUGCAGUGCUAGAGUGCAGAAAGGGCAAUCGGAAUUCUUGGUGUAGCGGUGAAAUGCGUAGAUAUCAAGAGGAACACCUGAGGCGAAGGCGGGUUGCUAGGCUGACACUGACGCUGAGGCGCGAAAGCCAGGGGAGCAAACGGG
rnacentral:rRNA from 1 species